rnacentral:lncRNA from 1 species
GAUGCUCCUAUGAGCCUUGUUGCGGUUCAAGCUAAAUGAUUGCAGACAUGCUACUAGGAACUUGUCCCUAGCAUCAUAAACCUCCUUCCUUUGUUCUUCAUCAAGCUUAUCAAAGGUAAUCUCUGCAGCAGAAAACACUUUAGGAGCCUUGGGAUUAGAUUGAUCGUCUGCAGGUUCAUCGGCCAUCUGGUUGAAGUUGAGGCAACGACGAGCACUAAUGAUGUUAUUUGAUUGUUGGUUCCACUAUGGCGUGCCAAAAGCAUGUUCACGAAAAAUCUGGGCUUCAGGAUUUUCCAUUGAACAACACAGAGGACCUUCUCUUCCACUUUUACCCCCGUCAAAAAUGCAAAUUGCCCCCACUCCAUCUAUCCCCUCAGCAAAUCUCAAGCCGACCUUCCUUUCGUUUCCCCCCUCCUCGGAUCUAGGUCGUUGCCAUCAACGCCUAGAUCAUCUCCUACAUGCCAGCUGCUGCACGCUUCAAUUGCUUUUGUCACCAUCAUGGGCUCAUCUCUGAUCCACACCCUUCAACACUAUCAAAGAAGAAGCACAUCAUCAUUGUUGAGGUUUUGAGAAGGGCCGGGUAUCAUUAACUUGUGGCGUGUGAUGUAGAGGGGCAGCUCAAGGUGGGGUUGCCAUGGCUGUGGUUGUUCGACAAAUGUCUAAAGGGGUGGUCAGGUGUGAAUUCACUUUUCGUAGCAUAUGAAAUGGUUGUUUGAAGCCACCAAGGUGCUCCUUAUUGCAACUACAGCUAGAUGUAUGGGAUAUCGUUGGAAAAAGAAACAUGGAAGAGAUAGGAGAGAUAAAUGAAAUAAAACAUUAGAGGGAAGAUGGGCCGCUACCAUGUGAACCACUCAUUAAGGAGAUUAUUGGAACUUACGUACUCCCUCCGUUCUGAAAUAGAAGCCAUCCUAAAGAUUUUGGGACAUAUUAGCAGGAGUAGCAAAAGACGCAUAUUGACGGAUAUCCAGAUUAAGGAUACCCUAAACCAUCAGCUAUUUUAAGCAGAGGAAGAUCAUGGGUCAAAGCAAAUAGGGCUAGAUAGGGGUCCGAUCCCAUCAUCGCCCGAGGCGGAGGCCCAGGCACCGAAAAGAACAGGCCGAUAACCUGGCCCAAUACGUCCCACAAAGCCUAGGCGUAAUGAUGGGCCAGGCCUAUCACGGCCCUAAAGCGUAGCUAGGUCUGCCUGAUGGGACAGCCACAGACGCACCCGCGUGGGUUGAGGUGAGGGGGUGCAGGUCAGCCAGUCAGGCGCACCAUUUUCCUUGCCUGGGAAGGCAGGAUAACCGCAUCCGGACGUAAAGCCCCCAGUCGGGGAUGACACUGUAGCGCUUCAGCUCGGACCGUACCAGGUUAGUCACGCUGGUUUCCCGUUUGCCAUAAUGACGGCGUCAGGUGAUGUGACCGGAGGGCAGGCACCGUCCUUGGAUACGUUUAGGGGCCGGGUUCGAAAACCUAGGAGGUCUGAAGAUUUUCACGGAAAUAGAGCCGGAAGACGCCCCGACUGAGGGAUGGGACCCACCGUGGCUAGUCAAGGAGAGGCGCCUCACUACAUAGAAGACCCACGACGAUUGACGAUGUAGCCCUCCUCAUGAGCCGUGUAUAUAAAGGCACGGGGAACGAGAGUGGGAUUCAACCCCAAGUAGAACACACACAUACGAACGGUUUGUAACCCCAUACUGCAAACUUAAGCACUUGAGCCCAGGAAUAAAGAACCCGUAUCACGAACUGGAUGUAGGGCAAGUUCACUGAACUAGUAUAAAUCUCCUGUGUCUCGCGAGCUAACCCAUCCGAGAAUCCACGCGACAAAUCUUCACUAGUUGAUGCUACUAAACGUCGACACAUGUACCCCUGACUUAACGGUAGUUGUAUAUAACAAGUAACUUAUUUUUUUAGUAAUAAUUCACAAAUCAGCUACUCUUAUCUUGUUAAUUAUAGAAAUAAUUAAAUGGCAAACUACAAUUCUUUGUAUUUGAGGAUAAAUUUUAAAUACUUGGAUGCCUUGUAUUACAGGACGAAGAGAGUAGCAUUAUAUAUAUUGAAAGUUUAUGUUCUAAAAUUACAUUUUUAAAACUUUAUAGGCUAGAUAAUACUGCCAAACAAAGUUUAACAAACUAUAUUGUAGUAUCUUAUUAAAUAUUAACUAUAGCUCGAGUAUAAAAAGAGUUGGCCAUAUGAAAGACAAUGCACUAAGCGUAUAGUAACUUAGAACAAGCAUUGUUUCGAUCGGCUGAAAUAAUCUAUGUUUCGAUCCACAAACAUGUAUCUAGGAUUCGGGGCCCAUCACUAACUCACAUUUUUGGCCGAUCUUGUUUAUUUGUUCCACAAGGAGUCAAGGACCGUACCAUAACAUCGGAAGUGAUCCAAGCUACGAGAGCUAGCUCACUUGGCACUGUACAAGUUCCUUGCCUUUAGUGCAGCACAUGCCGACGCCCGACAGGCCUGCCAAGUGAUGGAAUCUUAGCAACGACGGAUCUUGUCCCGCAACGACGGAUCUCACCGCUAAAGUUUAUCACCUAUCACAUUAAAUGUUUGAUACUACUUACAAGUAUUAAAUAUAGACUAAUUACAAAAUUAAUUGCACAGAUUGAGGCUAAUUCGCGAGACGAAUCUAUUAAGCCUAAUUAGUUCAUGAUUUGAUAAUGUGGUGCUACAGUAACCAUUUGCUAAUGAUGGAUUAAUUAGCCUUAAUAGAUUCGUCUCGCGAAUUAGCUCAGAGGUUCUGCAAUUAGUUUUAUAACUAGUUCAAGUUUAGUCCUUCUAAUUAGCCUCGAACAUCCGAUGUGACACGGCUAAAGUUUAGCACCUGGUAUCCAAACAGUCUUAGGGGGUGUUUGGAUCCUUGAGCUAAAGUUUAGUCCAUAUCACAUCGAAUCUUCGGAUGCUAAUUAGGAGGACUAGACAUGAGUUAAUUAUAAAACUAGUUACAUAUAUGUAGGCUAAUUCACGAGACGAAUCUAUUAAGUCUAAUUAAUUCAUGAUUAACACAUAUUUACUGUAGCCUCACAUUGUCAAAUCAUGAACUAAUUAGGUUUAAUAGAUUCGUCCCGUGAAUUAGUCUCCUUCUAUGCAAUAUAAUUAGUCUAUGUUUAAUACUCUGUAUAUUUGAUGUGACAGGGACUAAAGUGAUCCCGGCAAAACGGGGCCUUGGUAACAAAGAGGCGGCUUUGAAAAAACUGUCAGCAUGCUGACAUGCAUGAGCAAGUGCAGUGUCAACCGAACAAUUCAUAAACCACCAUGCGGUGACUGGGCUACUUACUAGAGUCCACAACUGGAAAUCUGGAAUCUUUCACCACACGUGUCAUCAGGACCCAGGGAACCCAUGCAUAUAUCGUGUCAUCAGGACGCAGGGCCCGCUGCAGCAGUAGUGUGUGUUGCCGCAUGUCCAUAUCUUAUAGCAUGGUCACCUGGCCUGUCACUUUGGAUCUGUGGCUCGAGCAGCCAGCUUUCCUUCUACGCAAAAGAUAUAUCCUCCCAGCCAGCCGGGCCUGCUGCCAGUUUGAUCGGGGACGCGCCCGCUGCCGCGCCACUAGCGUGAUGGGUGGUCGACGUGAGAACAGCGCGCGCGCGCGUACGGGAGGAUACCUGGAGGCGACACGCCGGCGAUGUGUAUGGGGCCGUAUACAGUGUGCUACCGUCUGGUGUGAAAACUGAAGCAACGAUAGAGGGUGCUCCAUCACUUGUGUCUUGAUCCGAAAUCAGUGUCGCUGAUCUAAUUAACUAGUUUUUACUCUAUUGGAACACCAUGCACAAAGCAGUGUCGGCAGAGUACAUUGGAAAAAGAUCAAAAGAACCUUUCCUAUGAUGUUAAUGUCUGGUCAUUUUUUAAUCGCUAUGCGCUAGUUUUUACCCUGCACCGUAAAUGUGUGAAAUAGAAGACAAGUACGUUGGUGCCGUUCGUUUCAUACAUGGACAUGAAAUCUUGAGAAAAAAUUGUAACAACAAUAAUAGAUUGUAUCUAAGUUGUCUUAAAGUACUUCCACAAUUUCUUAAACCCUGUUUGGAACUGAGGAUUGCCGUAGAAAUUUCAUAGCAAUACAAUCCAUAUAUUUUGCUUAUGUCCCGUGGUGUUUUGAUCAAAGGAACGAGCGUUGCCAUUCCUAUAAAAAGGUUUAAUUUCAUCCACAAUACACAUGUAUGAACGAAAACAUCCAAUUGAGUUCUUCGCACAAGCCCAAGCCACGCAAGUGCGCAUUAUACACGAGCAACUCCAGCAAUAGCCCUCAAAUCAAAACCCCCAAAGGUCAAAUGGGGUUCUCUUUUUUUAAGGGUUACAAAAAUAUCUACCACUCCAGCAAUAACCCUCAUGGAUAGAGGCCCUCCUAGAGACCCUCCCGGAAUGGAGGGUGGAUGAAGAAAUUUAGAGGCCUCCCCAAAAUGGGAGCCUAGUAGAGGAUCUGCUAGAGUGUGUGUUUUUUACUUGACCUCUAAACUUGGGAUAGAGGUCUGUUUAGAGGGUCCGCUAGAGUUGCGCUUAGACCGGAAAUGGAGAGAAAGCUGAACAGCCUGCCAUAGCCCAACCUACGCCUGCAGGACAGAAAAGAGGAGAUACACGUUAUCUUUACUAGCAUAAUUUGCAAAUAAAAACAUUAUCAAUCACUCAAUAUUUGCCUUGUUCAUGUCUUAAUUAAAUCUGUGCUAAUUCUCACCAAUGCCUACUCAUGCAAAUAUAUUCAUGUAGGAGCUUGCCCUUUGAUUCCACUGCCCUCCAAGUCUGACUCCAAGCUUCAUCAAUUUACAGAGAUGCACCUACUCCAAGUACAAAUGCAAUGAAGAAUGAACUAUUCAUGUAUCUUUUGUUUGAGUGAAGAACAUGUAAUAUGUGUUGAACUCAAGGACUUAGGUGAUGUGAUGUGUACUGGUCAGUUGUAGAUGUUGUUAGCAGUAAACUUUGUUUGAGUCGCAGUAAACUCUUUGGGAGCCUUGGGAUCAGACUGAUCGUCUGCAGGUUCGUCGGCCAUCUGGUUGAAGUUGAGGUAACGACGAGCACUAAUAAUGUUUGUUGAUUGUUGGUCCCACUGGGAGUGCCAAGAGCGUGUUGACGCAAAAUCUGAACUUCAGACUUCUACGUUGAACAACAUAAAGGACCUUAUCUUCCACUUUUACCCCCGUCGAAGAAACAAAUUGCCCCUACUCCAUCUAUCCCUUCAGCAAAUCUCAAGCCGACCUUCCUUUCGUUUCCC